rnacentral:rRNA from 1 species
GACGAGCGCUGGCGGCGCGCCUAACACAUGCAAGUCGAACGAGCGAGCGAGAGUUUGCUUUCUCGAGCGAGUGGCGAACGGGUGAGUAACGCGUGAGGAACCUGCCUCAAAGAGGGGGACAACAGUUGGAAACGACUGCUAAUACCGCAUAAGCCCACGGUGCCGCAUGGCACAGAGGGAAAAGGAGCAGUCCGCUUUGAGAUGGCCUCGCGUCCGAUUUGCUAGUUGGUGAGGUAAUGGCCCACCAAGGCGACGAUCGGUAGCCGGGCUGGGAGGUUGAACCGCCACAUUGGGACUGAGACACAGCCCAGACUCCGACGGGAGGGAGCAGUGGAGAAUACUGCACAAUGGGGGAAACCCUGAUGCAGCGACGCCGGGUAUAGGAAGAAGGUCGUCGGAUUGUAAACUCCUGUUGUUGGGGAAGAUAAUGACGGUACCCAACAAGGAAGUGACGGCUAACUACGUA